rnacentral:rRNA from 1 species
GAUGAACGCUAGCUACAGGCUUAACACAUGCAAGUCGAGGGGAAACGACAUCGAAAGCUUGCUUUUGAUGGGCGUCGACCGGCGCACGGGUGAGUAACGCGUAUCCAACCUGCCCACCACUUGGGGAUAACCUUGCGAAAGUAAGACUAAUACCCAAUGACGUCUCUAGAAGACAUCUGAAAGAGAUUAAAGAUUUAUCGGUGAUGGAUGGGGAUGCGUCUGAUUAGCUUGUUGGCGGGGUAACGGCCCACCAAGGCUACGAUCAGUAGGGGUUCUGAGAGGAAGGUCCCCCACAUUGGAACUGAGACACGGUCCAAACUCCUACGGGAGGCAGCAGUGAGGAAUAUUGGUCAAUGGACGUAAGUCUGAACCAGCCAAGUAGCGUGCAGGAUGACGGCCCUAUGGGUUGUAAACUGCUUUUAUGCGGGGAUAAAGUGAGGGAUGCAUCCCUUUUUGCAUGUACCUUAUGAAUAAGGACCGGCUAAUUCCGUG